rnacentral:rRNA from 1 species
GAUGAACGCUGGCGGUGUGCCUAAUACAUGCAAGUCGAGCGAACAGACGAGGAGCUUACUCCUCUGACGUUAGCGGCGGACGGGUGAGUAACACGUGGAUAACCUACCUAUAAGACUGGGAUAACUUCGGGAAACCGGAGCUAAUACCGGAUAACAUGUUGAACCGCAUGGUUCAACAGUGAAAGACGGUCUUGCUGUCACUUAUAGAUGGAUCCGCGUCGCAUUAGCUAGUUGGUAAGGUAACGGCUUACCAAGGCAACGAUGCGUAGCCGACCUGAGAGGGUGAUCGGCCACACUGGAACUGAGACACGGUCCAGACUCCUACGGGAGGCAGCAGUAGGGAAUCUUCCGCAAUGGGCGAAAGCCUGACGGAGCGACGCCGCGUGAGUGAAGAGGGUCUUCGGAUCGUAAAACUCUGUUAUUAGGGAAGAACAAAUGUGUAAGUAACUAUGCACGUCUUGACGGUACCUAAUCAGAAAGCCACGGCUAACUACGUG